rnacentral:tRNA from 1 species
CGGAAAGGCCAAAGUGCAAAUUUGGCGAAGCACCCAAAAGGGUGCCGGGGCUUCUCCCGUUUAAAAGAGACGGGAGAAGG